rnacentral:rRNA from 1 species
UACGUAGGGGCAAGCGUUGUCCGGAUUUAUUGGGCGUAAAGAGCGUGUAGGCGGCCAGAUAGGUCCGUUGUGAAACUCGAGGCUCAACCUCGAGACGCCGGUUGAAACCAUCUGGCUAGAGUCCGGAAGAGGAGAGUGGAAUUCCUGGUGUAGCGGUGAAAUGCGCAGAUAUCAGGAAGAACACCCGUGGCUAAGGCGGCUCUCUAGUACGGUACUGACGCUGAGACGCGAAAGCGUGGGGAGCGAACAGG